rnacentral:rRNA from 1 species
UUACACAUGCAAGUCGAACGGUAACAGGUCUUCGGAUGCUGACGAGUGGCGAACGGGUGAGUAAUGCAUCGGAACGUGCCCAGUCGUGGGGGAUAACGCAGCGAAAGCUGUGCUAAUACCGCAUACGAUCUAUGGAUGAAAGCGGGGGAUCGCAAGACCUCGCGCGAUUGGAGCGGCCGAUGUCAGAUUAGCUAGUUGGUGGGGUAAAGGCCCACCAAGGCGACGAUCUGUAGCUGGUCUGAGAGGACGACCAGCCACACUGGGACUGAGACACGGCCCAGACUCCUACGGGAGGCAGCAGUGGGGAAUUUUGGACAAUGGGCGCAAGCCUGAUCCAGCAAUGCCGCGUGCAGGAAGAAGGCCUUCGGGUUGUAAACUGCUUUUGUACGGAACGAAAAGGUCUGGG